GUAACGCAAAGCAGCGAACUUGCUGGCGCUUACAUAACUGACUUUUUCAAUCAACCGGUUUGUGUGUGACACAAAUCAUUCCAGACAUUUAGAAUUGUAAACAAAUAAAUGAGCCAUCAAAUUAUAAGAGAGCGAAUGAAGUGCGCUUACAGCUUGGCUUGGGUAAACUUUUCAGAUAAAAAUGUCGUAAUUUGAAGCUACGCGGAGAAUCAUAAUACGAACUUGCAUGCAAGUAUGUAAGUAUUUGUGCGUUUGUGUGGGCAGUGCCAACUCGCGUUCACAGUUUUCAUUGUCUGCUAAGCUGGCUGCCGCCAAGUCGUCAGUCGAUUCCGGUAAUGAGAUGACCUCAUUGGGUGUUUGCGUUGGUAAAAGCCACUAAAGUUAGUACACACACAGCAGAAUCUAUUCACAUACAUACAGUACAUGAUGAAUAUGAGAACGAUUGGUUAAAAGAGCACGCAGAUAAUUCCACAUUAAAAAAAGUAAAAAAAAAAUAAAUAAAAACAUUAAUAAAAGUGAACUGAACAGAGCUUGGUUCAAUUAGAGCGUAGAAUGAGCGCUGCGUAAUGGUUGUGGAAUGGCGUUCCGUAGACAGCUGAAACUGGAUAACUAGGUUGGGAUAUAUGAAUGUAAGCGCAUUUUUAUAAACAACAAUAAAACUGAGUGUCUUAUUUCGGAAAGUAUAAGUUUUUGAACGUUCGCUGGUUCAAGGUUUGCUCAAAAAUAUCAUAAUAACAGAGCAAGGGUUACAUUUGUCUCUAUUUUUUGCGCUAAGUUGGCUGGUUUUCUCUUUCGCUUGUUUUGAUAUUUUUCUACAAACCUUCGAACAUCAAAUUAACUUUAGAAGAUUUUUUUCAUGUCAGAGCACUCUUCUGAAGGUUGACUUUGCCAGCCGAAAGGUGAGAGAGGGAGAUUUUGAAAAAAUAAAUGUUUAAUUCUCAAUAUAGUCUCAAACUUGUUUAUCCGUUUUCUGGUAGACUUUUUCAAGUUUGAAAACAAAAAGAUGUCGGACGGAGCCAAAUAUUAAGAAUACGGUGGAUGAGACAGCAGUUCAUAAUUCGAACAGUUCGAGUGUUUAUCAUGAUGUAAGGAAAUUUUUUUUAAUGGAGCAAUUUUGUUGUAAUUCGACAACGAAUCGGCCCAAUAAAUCAGCAUAUUAAAGUUAUGUGGGUAUUUUGCGCCCAUCCAAGUAGUCGAUGUAGAUUAUAGAUUUUGUAAACAGUAGACAUCACCCUUCAGGUCAAUAGGUCAGUGUACACGUUCUUUGUAGAAGGUUCUCCGCGUAACUUGUCUGACGUGGGACCACUUAUCACUAUCGCUAUCAAUUUUAUUUGAUAGUAUCAAAGUAGAAAUGAUAUGGCAUAUAACACCCAAGACCUCAUUGAUUUCACUGCACGUUCUCUAAUUGAAUCACCGACAGAAUUUCGUGGACACACUAGGUUGUUAUACACGAUAGUAAAACUGUUUUACAAUAGUGCCGCCAUGGGUCUGUGAGUGGCUAAUAUUUAGCGUACCGGUCUUUGUGUUCAAAAAAUUACGGCAAUUUUAAUUUAAAAAAAAAUGUUCUUUAGUCUGCAUCUCUGUUCCAUUAUUAAAUAUUUAUACUUAAAAGCAAUAGAAAGGCGAAAAAAGAAAAAUGUAAUUCGAAAGUCAGUAUGAUUUUUAAUGAUUCUUUAAUUUUAAUUCUCAUACAUAUUUUUUAUUUUAUUUUUCCAUUUAUCUAUGAACCUUACACUUAUGUGCGGCGUCUACUAUUAAGAGCUACCAAACUAGGCUUGAAAGGUAAUUAAUGACUCAAUGGCAUAGAAAAGAUAUACACAUACUAUACCGAGAGUCGGAAAUGAAAAUCAUUACAAAAAUAAAGAUAGAAAAGAGAAUAGAAUAUAAAGGUUAAAAGAGAAUAAAUAAAAAUUCUACACAAAAAAAAAUAACGAAAACAAAAUACAAAGUCGGCUUUGUUAUUCUACCUUUUUAUAUUCAAGUGAUUACACAUUCGCUUGCUCUGCAAUUUUCGCACUAAAAACAUGACAUCAUUUCAGUUUUAAACCUCUUUUUAUGAGUCUGGAUCGUUUGCGCGUUUGGGUACUGAUUCCAUUUAAUUUGAUUUACUUAUUAAAAGUGUUGUUUUUUGGCGAUACGGUCAAAUGAAGAAGUAAAUAAAAGAAAAGGACCUUGAAAAAGAAGAGUUUUGAAAAUUACCCACAAAGAAGUAAUUCUAAACCUAAAUCAUAUUAUUGAAAACAGCCAUUAAAAUAAAUACAAAUAAAAAAUAUUAUUCAGAAUUAAAUUUAUGGGUAGAAAAAUAAUAUUUGAUUACUGAUUAACCACACUUUAACUCUUAUUAAAACAAACUCAAAUAUUAUAUUUGAGUUGCAUUUUUAUAUGUAUAUUUGUUUAGAUAAUCACAAAGUUCAGUAGUUGGAUUCAGUAUUGAAAUGUUGAUGAUUAUCAUAUAAAAUGUCGUGUUUUGAGCGAUGUUUGCUCAAAUAUUUCUCAUACUAAUUUGUGCAAAUAAAUCCAAGCCUAACCUCACUUCAUGCUUUCCGCUCCGAAUUACGGAAAAGUUCGAUUAUUGAGAUGAGUCUCAUAUUUAUUUCGCUAGAUAAUUAUUCAAAAACCAAUAUUAAAUACUAGUUAUUGUGUUUUCCUUAUUGCAUUCACUAUUUGUAUUUUAUGAAAAUAUUUACGCAUGUAAAUACAAUAUGUAAACAGAGAAGACUGGUGUGAAUCACAUAAAUGUGGCUAAGUGCAAUCAAAACAGAAUAGUAUUUACUAUGAAAAUAUAGUGUUUACUAGAUAAUAGUAAUAAGAGAGAGACAGAUAUCGCUUUGUAACAUUAUAUACACUAGUAUUUUACAAGCUUUUUUCAGCCUAGAAAAAGUAGAUAAAAAGGUUGGUCUUGUAGCGGGUGGAGGGCAAGACAAAAUACCUGGAGACCACACAAAAAGAUUCCACGCGUCUUGGGAACUACGUCACUGUUGGCAGCUCUAAAUUUGUCUGCCUCGGUACCAGCAUAAAUACAACCAACAAUUCCAGCUUGGCUACCAAUCGCAGAAUAACUCUUGCCAAUAGAUACUUUGGAAUCGGUGAGAAGUUGAGAACAACAUGGACGAUGACAAAUCGAGACGAGGAAGUACUUGGAUCAAUCGAGGGAACUGAUCUCUGCAAUAUCUUUGUUACGAAGGUGUACUGAAGAGUAUGAAACAAUGAACUGUAUGAGCUCUACGGCGAAAUGAAUAUAGUGAAGCGUGUAAAAAUUCAUCGAAUUUGCUGGUUGGGCCAUAUCGUAACUAUGGAAGACACUGUUCCAGCGAAAAGCUGCUUCAAUUCGAGACCCAUGGAUAGACAACGGAAGCAAGAGCGCCUACGCAUCCAAUGGAAGGGCCAAGUACAUAGUAACCUGUUUGCAUUUGGAAUCUUGGGAUGUACAACUGUCGUGACUAGACAAAGUGUAAAGGGAACUGGCGCAGUUUUGUGUUCUCGGCCCAGAGCGACCCACGGUUUUAAUGUCAAAAAUUAAGUAUUAUUAUACAAGAAUAAUUUGUCAAUUUUGAGAGUUGAAUGUCAACAUGUUUCUGAAUUUCACUAAUCGUUUUUUAUUGUUGUCGAAUCAAAGUUGAGUGCUUUCGUUUCGAAUCCUUAGGUCAAAGGUCAUCAAUAAUUUAAGAAUUUAGGUUUAAAUUUAUCUAGUCAUUGUUGCUUUGAAUUUAAUUGAUGAAAUCAUCCAACUAUAAACUAUUUAUACAGUAGCGGACAGUGAAAUCCGGACAACCAUUCGAUUUGUAUUUAACGGGCGAUUGUGACCGACCAGUGUAUUUUACUGCCGAAAGGCCUAUUCUUUCACAUAAAUACGUGUUCCGUACACGUUUUAAAGCAACUUUUAGUAUAUUUUUUAAGAGUUUAAUAAUUUAUUUUGUGCUUGUGCUUCGCUAAAGAUUAAAUAUACCGAAUUUCAAAAAAAA